rnacentral:lncRNA from 1 species
GAACUUCCCUAGAAGUAUCCCUGACCCAGGCUUCAAGGAGGCAGCACACUUCCCUGCAGGCAGGGUUGGGUCAACAUGGGGGGCCCUCUGUUCCUCUCAGCGGGAGCCACUUGCCGCAGUCACCCUUCUGUCCUUCUUAGCAGAGGCUAUCUGGAGAUGUGGGGUCGACCGCCUCUCCCUUGACAACUGAAUGGGUGGACCUCCCACUGCUUCCUCACUCAGCUCUCCAUCAAGUUCCAGAACCAAAAACCUAUUAUUCAGGGCACCUGGGCAACCAAGGGAGGUCAAUAUGGGGGUUGCCUGUGACACCGAACUGGGACCUGUUGCCACUCCUCCUCUUCCCUUAAAUCACCUCCCUCUACUUGACAAUGGCAGGAGAGGGGGACCACUGCCAUCUGGGAAGUAUCACCCUGGUGUCUUCCUUGCAAGUGCAGCAGAGAGUUAGCUGACCCAUCUAUCUCCUGCUCGCACUCUCUGAUACUCAUUAAUCUCUCCACCUCCUUCUUGAGCCCCACCACCACAAUGAGCAGAUCAUCCACCUACUCACAUCUCAUGCAGGUGGAAACCCUGCUGCCUUUCAGCAGCAGCAGCAGACUCAGGCACUCACUGCAGACAGGGACUUAACCAUCAUAUUUUUAGGCAGGCACUCGGCCAGAGUCACCACAUUCUUUCUAGCCAGAGCUUUAUGCCUAGUGAAUACUAUAGCUGGAUUUGUUGUCUGGGAGGAAACCAACAGGUGAGUUGGUCUCCUGAAUGGGCAGAGGUAUCCUACCUUCCUUGCUUUCCCUGCUCAACUGCACUGCAUGAAUUGCCAGUCCAAACUGCUGCCCUGUGCUGUUUGCACAUCCUGCUCGCACUGCUCCCUACUCGCAGGUUUACCCACACAGGGGGUGACCCCCCACUGUUCCUCAUUCUGCCUCCAUGACAUCAGAAUGCUGCAGCCAUGCAGAGGACAAUGGCACCCAGCACCUGCUCCAGAUGCCCUUGUAUUGGAAGACUGAGUCUACUGGAAGACACUGCAGCUGGUAACCUGUUGACUUUGAAAGGUCCUCUUCCUGGCAACCACAUUUAUUUUUCCAAGGCACUAUAUUUC